GGACUAAAACAAGAAAUUGCAAGCCUCUCCUCUGAAUCAGUGCUCCCCUGUGCAUCAGACCACGGCUGCUGGUCGUUUAUCGGGUGUAAGAUGUUUUUUUUUUAAGGCUUUAAGUGUGAUGGUAGCAGGAGCUGUUGGUAUAUGCAACCGUUCAGUUUGGCGGUCAGGCCUCGCCCCCACUGGACAAUCAUUAAAGGGCAACUGUCAUCAAAUUAUUACUUAUAAAAGUAUACUUUUAAAA